UGGGCGCCUAAAGUGCAAAGGGUGAGCAUUGCUAGUCUCUUUUUGGUGGAAAGGGAUGAUACUUGGUUUCAUAACUGGAGCAAAGGAAAAGGGAAUGUGUAUUGGGAAGAGUUUGAGAGAGGGUUAUGUGGUAGAUUUGGAGAUCCAAAGAUGGAGCAUGUGGCGGAAGAGUUCAUGAAAAUGAGGCAAGAAGGCACUGUGGAAGAUUAUCAAGACAAGUUUGAAGAAUUGAGGAUCCGGAUGGAGAUAAUUAUGCCACAGUUAGGGCAUGUGGCGGAAGAGUUCAUGAAAAUGAGGCAAGAAGGCACUGUGGAAGAUUAUCAAGACAAGUUUGAAGAAUUGAGGAUCCGGAUGGAGAUAAUUAUGCCACAGUUAGGGUUGGCAUAUUAUCCGUCAAGAUUCAUUGGAAGUUUGAAGGAUGAGAUUAGGCAUAAUGAGGCCUAAUUCCUUGUUUCAUGCUUUUGAGAUUGCUAAAUUUUAGAGAAAAAAAAAUUGUUGGAAUUAAUAGAACUACUAUUUUUACACCUAAAACCUUCACCAGCUGCUUCAGAUCCACACCAGGUCCCAAUACCACAGCUCUUUCUUGCCAAACUUCACAAUUGCACCAAACUUUUCCUUAUUCUCCAAGAUCAACACUGACACAAAUACAAGAUUCAAGACACAUAACAGAACCUGAAAAGCCGCCCAAUUCAAUAGUCAAAGCUCUGUAAACUAGUCUACCAAUAAACCAACUCAGCAACAUAAUCAAACCAAUACAAGAAAGCCAAGGCAUGUUUUAGGUGUGGAUAAAGAUAUUUUCCUAUACAGUCCUGCAAGCAAAAGAGUGCAAUGUCUUUAUAUGCUAAUGAGCAAGAUACAGGCUUGUACUAACAGAAAGGAAAGGAAGGGAAGGAAUGAGAGGUUGAGGGAUUUUAUUUUAACAAAUUGAUAUUGAGCAACUGAAAUGACAUAACCAUAUAAGUUGAGGGGACAGUGCAAUUUACUCCAAUUAUGUAAUAACAGCAAGCCUUUAAUAGAUCUAUUAAAGAAGGAUGCAUUUCAGUGGUCUGAGGUAACUCAACAAGCUUUUGCUAAACUCAGGUCUGCCACGUCUACAGCCCUUGAUUUGGCACUUCCUGAUUUCUCCAGACCCUUUAUAAUUGAGAAAAAUGAUAGUAUUUAUGGCACAUGCGCAAUUUUGCCACAAGGGCAUUUUAUUGCUUUCAUUUCCAAAGCAUUUGGGCCAAAAAAAUAAAGCUCUUUCAGCAUAUGAAAAAGAGCUCCUGGC
rnacentral:misc_RNA from 1 species